rnacentral:tRNA from 1 species
GCGUUGGCUGGGCAUUGGCGAGCCCCGGUGGCUGUAACCCACCCGCUUACUGCUGUGGCGGUUCGACUCCGUCCCAACGCAC